rnacentral:rRNA from 1 species
AGAUUAAGCAUAAGUAACGGCGAGUGAAGCGGCAUCAGCUCAAAUUUGAAAUCUGGCUCUUUCAGAGUCCGAGUUGUAAUUUGCAGAGGGCGCUUUGGUGUCGGCAGCGGUCCAAGUUCCUUGGAACAGGACGUCACAGAGGGUGAGAAUCCCGUACGUGGUCGCUGACCUACACCGUGUAAAGCCCCUUCGACGAGUCGAGUUGUUUGGGAAUGCAGCUCUAAAUGGGAGGUAAAUUUCUUCUAAAGCUAAAUACUGGCCAGAGACCGAUAGCGCACAAGUAGAGUGAUCGAAAGAUGAAAAGCACUUUGGAAAGAGAGUCAAACAGCACGUGAAAUUGUUGAAAGGGAAGCGCUUGCAGCCAGACUUGCUUGUAGUUGCUCAUCCGGGCUUUUGCCCGGUGCACUCUUCUGCGAGCAGGCCAGCAUCAGUUUGGACGGUUGGAUAAAGGCCUCUGUCACGUACCUUCUCUCGGGAAGGCCUUAUAGGGGAGGCGUCAUGCAACCAGUCUGGACUGAGGUCCGCGCAUCUGCUAGGAUGCUGGCGUAAUGGCUGUAAGCGGCCCGUCUUGAAACACGGACCAAGGAGUCUAACAUCUAUGCGAGUGUUUGGGUGUCAAGCCCGAGCGCGUAAUGAAAGUGAACGGAGGUGGGAUCCCGCAAGGGUGCACCAUCGACCGAUCCUGAUGUCUUCGGAUGGAUUUGAGUAAGAGCAUGGCUGUUGGGACCCGAAAGAUGGUGAACUAUGCUUGAAUAGGGUGAAGCCAGAGGAAACUCUGGUGGAGGCUCGCAGCGGUUCUGACGUGCAAAUCGAUCGUCAAAUUUGGGCAUAGGGGCGAAAGACUAAUCGAACUAUC